AACGAACGCUGGCGGCAUGCCUAACACAUGCAAGUCGAACGAGACCUUCGGGUCUAGUGGCGCACGGGUGCGUAACGCGUGGGAAUCUGCCCUUAGGUUCGGAAUAACUCCCCGAAAGGGGUGGUAAUACCGGAUAAUGUCUUCGGCCCAAAGAUUUGUCGCCUUUGGAGGUGCCCGCGUUGGAUUAGCUAGUUGGUAGGGUAAAAGCCUACCAAGGCGAUGAUCCAUAGCUGGUCUGAGAGGAUGAUCAGCCACACUGGGACUGAGACACGGCCCAGACUCCUACGGGAGGCAGCAGUGGGGAAUAUUGGACAACGGGCGAAAGCCUGAACCAGCAAUGCCGCGUGAGUGAUGAAGGCCUUAGGGUUGUAAAGCUCUUUUACCCGGGAGGAUAAUGACAGUACCGGGAGAAUAAGCUCCGGCUAACUCCGUG
rnacentral:rRNA from 1 species